UCAGGAGUGAAGCUUCUGUCUGCUGCACUGCAGAGUCCAUGUUGUACACUGGAAACUCUCAGAUUGAUGAGCUGUGGUUUGUCAGAGAUCAGCUGUGAUUAUCUGGCAGCAGCACUGAAGUCCAACCCCUCGUAUCCCAGAGUGCUGGACCUGAGUGGAACCUACAACAACCUGCAGGAUUCAGGAGUGAAGCAGCUGUGUGAUCUUCUGGAGAGUCCACGAUGUCGAUUUGAAACUCUGAGACUGAGUCACUGUGACCUGUCAGAGAGAAGCUGUGAAGCUCUGGCCUCAGCUCUCAGCUCUCAGAC